CAAAUUGCUAAAAAAUAGUUGUUCAUACAUCCUCAUAGCUAGGCUGGUUGUGGAAGUCUCAAAAGAACAAUCUUUAAUGCACUCCCUCUUGAUGGCACACAUAAAAUAAUCUUUGGAAUCCUCAUCAAACCUUCUAAGGAAAACAACAGAGUUCAUACUACUGCUGCUAAAGACACUGCACCCACAAAUAACAAAGUCGAACAAAUUUGAGGAGCAGUAGGGACACACCUUCAACUAGAAACACAAUAGGCUUGAAGUUGUUUGAUAUUCAACUCUGAAGUGUAGCAAUCUUCUUUUUCUUUUAAAAUAAUUAACCUAAAUAGCCGCUCAACCAACCAUUUAAAACUGAAAUUCGAUCAUAAGUUUGUAAGAUCUUUCCAUGCAUAGUGUUAGACACCCAAUUUUGCACCUCCACCAUAUAAGUUAAUCAUUUCGAGCUUCUUCUAUUUCAAACCAUUUAAAAUAACUAGUUUUACAAAAUUUUAAGGAAAAAAAAAUCCAAAAUUUGGAAGUUAUUUUGAAUAAGCUUGUCACUUGUACAUAAUUAGUUUGUUUUAUAAAUAUUCAAAAAUCAUAUUAAAAAGAUUUUAAUUUUUAGUAAGUAUUUUAUUAAAUUAAAUUAGUUUAGCUUAAAUGAUACUUAUAUUUCUUCGUGUUAUUAGUUUAUAACUAGGUAAUUAUUUUAUGUCGUUAAGAUUAAGAUGUUCUUUAAUUAAUUUAUGCAAAAUCGUCUUGUUCAGAUUGUGACCUAGUAAACAGUUAAUUUAAAUUUGGGUACGAUCGAAAUUCAUUUGGGUUUCGUUUGACUAUAUUUCCUUGGCCAUUGAUGCAAUCCAUUGCUAUCCAUUUAAGUUUGAUGAUUUCAUUUUUUAGCCCAUUCGAAUUCUUCACACAUUCCAAUCCAACCCAAUUCCCUUUCUCAUAAAAAUCCAGAAGCCCGAAUUCCCAUCCCCAAUUCGACCCAGCCCAAUAUCACCCUAACCAAAUCUAACUCUCUUUAAUUCUUUUAUUUCCAGGCCAUGCCACACUCUUUUUCCCAAUUUCUUUUCACAAUUUAAUCCCAGCCCAAAUUCCCAACAAAUGACCCGGCCCACGUCUGUUUCUUUUUCCCAAAGAAGAACAAAAAGACGACAUCAACGUCAAAAUGCAGCGCCGAAAAUGCGCGUGAUCAAACGAAAGCGAGAUCACCCAGCAACCGCGAAGUCCAGUGGCGAUUCGGCCCACUCUCGCGUCGUUCUCUCUCAUUUCCCCUUUUCCUGUUUAAUACAAGGUUUCCAGGAAGACCAGCAAAAGCCUGAACCAGCCGCGUCUACUCGCCCUCGUGACUAUGAGAUGACGCCACGUCGAGCUCCAAGAAUUCGAGCCGUUCGCGUCCAUAUCAACUUUGCAAAUUUUGGUCAAAAAUCGGGUAUUCUCAAAAAACCCAACAGUCUCUUGUCCUUGAGGGUUUCAAAUAUUGAAAUGGGAUUUGGAUUUUCAAUUUUACCCUCAUCCGCCCGUUUCCCCCCCAAGUUUUUGGAACCGUAAAAAUCCCCCCUAUAUAUAUUUGCUUCAGCGUUCAAAAAAAUAAAGGGAGAAGAAAAAUAAAGUUGGGAAAAUUUAGGAGACAAUUUCUAACGGGAGAAACUGGUAAUAGACUUUUGGUUUGAGAAUUUUAGUCGCAAAGUUUUAGAGUAUAAAAUAUAUUAAUAUUACAUCAAGCGAGCAUUCACAAAAUUUGAUCGAGAUUCAAGAUUUCGCUUGGGUUCCUUUGUUGCUACCCUUGGCUAUUUUCGUGUGGUGAAGUCGUCACUAUCUCUCGUCGGUCUCAAUUUUCACUGCCUACAGAAAGGUAAUGUUUCUUCGCCCUAAUAUUAUUUUCAUUUCUUCUCUCGUGGGAGUGAUAUCCUGAUGUUUGAAGUUUUUUUUUUAAUUUUCAUGAUUGUUUGUUGUUAGUUACUGCUAAAUUGGUGCUAUUUUAAUAUAAUAUGUGUAUUCAUAGUCAUUUUUAUGGCGUAGCAUCGAGCUAAGACCUUGAAGGUUUUGUGGCCUGCUAGCAUGAAGUUUCGAGUUGUCGUUUUCUUUCUUGGGGUUUGCUGUGUGAUUCAAUGUUUGGAGCGAGUCAGUUUAUGGGUCGUUAUAUAGCAUGUUGUAUCUUGGCUGUCCAUCUAUGUUUCCGUUUUGCCUUUCUUUCUCGAGCUCUACCGCUUAAUGUCAGAAGGCUUGUGUGGUUCUGCCAAAACCAUGUUGAAGUAUUAGGUGUGUUAUGUUUAGGUUGUUCCUUACUAUUUGUCUAUCCUUAAGUCCUCAGAUCAAUUAAAAUGGCUAGUACAUAUUAUAAAAUAGCAUUCCUUUCUGUUGACACCCAAUUUUGAUCCUCACCCAUAAAGAUUAAGCAUCGAUCUUUUUCAAUUUUUUAACAAUUCCAAAUAAUUAGUUUUAUAAUUUUUUUUU